GACGAACGCUGGCGGCGUGCCUAAUACAUGCAAGUCGAACGGAAAGGCGCUGCUUUUGUGGGGUGCUUGAGUGGCGAACGGGUGAGUAACACGUGAGUAUCAUGUCCUUGACUUUGGGAUAACUUUAGGAAACUGGGGCUCAUAUCGGAUAGGAGCUCCUGCUGCAUGGUGGGGGAUGGAAAGUUUCGGCGGUUGGGGAUGGAUUCGCGGCUUAUCCCCUAGUUGGUGGGGUAGUGGCUUACCAAGGUUUUGACGGGUAGCCGGCCUGAGAGGGUGACCGGCCACAUUGGGACUGAGAUACGGCCCAGACUCCUACGGGAGGCAGCAGUGGGGAAUAUUCCACAAUAGGCGGAAGCCUGAUGCAGCAACGCCGCGUGCGGGAUGACGGCCUUCGGGUUGUAAACCGCUUUCGCCUGUAACGAAGCGUGAUUGACGGUAAUGGGUAAAGAAGCACCGGCUAACUACGUG
rnacentral:rRNA from 1 species